AGAGUUUGAUCCUGGCUCAGGAUGAACGUUGGCGGCGUGCCUAAUACAUGCAAGUCGAACGGUCGCAAGACAGUGGCGCACGGGUGAGGAACACGUAGCUGACCUGCCCUCCAGAGGGGGAUAACGUCGCGAAAGUGACGCUAAUACCCCAUAAGCUCACAGGCUCUAGAGGCCUGCGAGAAAAGCUCCGGCGCUGGAGGAGGGGGCUGCGGCCCAUCAGCUGGUCGGUGGGGUAACGGCCUACCGAGGCAACGACGGGUCGGGGGCCUGAGAGGGUGGCCCCCCACACUGGGACUGAGACACGGCCCAGACUCCUACGGGAGGCAGCAGUAAGGAAUAUUGCACAAUGGGCGCAAGCCUGAUGCAGCGACGCCGCGUGGGUGAUGAAGGCCUUCGGGUCGUAAAGCCCUUUUCCAAGUGACGAGAGCGGACGGUAGCUUGGGAAUAAGUCUCGGCUAACUACGUGCCAGCAGCCGCGGUAAAACGUAGGAGGCAAACGUUAUCCGGAGUUACUGGGCGUAAAGCGCGCGCAGGCGGGUCGGUAAGUGGGUCGUGAAAGCUCCCGGCUUAACUGGGAGAGGUCGAUUCAGACUGCCGGUCUGGAGGUUGGUAGAGGAGUGCAGAAUUCCGGGUGUAGCGGUGAAAUGUGUAGAGAUCCGGAGGAAUACCAGUGGUGCAGACGGCGCUCUGGGCCAAACCUGACGCUGAGGCGCGAAAGCUUGGGGAGCGAACGGGAUUAGAGACCCCGGUAGUCCCAGCCGUAAACGAUGUCAAUUAAGUGUUCACUGGGCGCAAGCCGAGGGAGUGCUGAAACUAACGCGCUAAAUUGACCGCCUGGGGAGUACGGUCGCAAGGCUAAAAC
rnacentral:rRNA from 1 species